rnacentral:rRNA from 1 species
GAUAAGGUUAAGUGAAUAAGGGCGCACGGUGGAUGCCUUGGCACUAGGAGCCGAUGAAGGACGGGACUAACACCGAUAUGCUUUGGGGAGCUGUAAGUAAGCUAUGAUCCAGAGAUUUCCGAAUGGGGGAACCCAAUAUCUUUUAUAGGAUAUUACUUUUCAGUGAAUACAUAGCUGAUUAGAGGUAGACGCAGAGAACUGAAACAUCUUAGUACCUGCAGGAAGAGAAAGAAAAUUCGAUUCCCUGAGUAGCGGCGAGCGAAACGGGAAGAGCCCAAACCAACAAGCUUGCUUGUUGGGGUUGUAGGACUCCAAUAUGGUAGUCUGUUAGUAUAGUUGAAGGAUUUGGAAAAUUCCGCUAAAGAGGGUGAAAGCCCCGUAGACGAAAUGCUGACAACACCUAGGAGGAUCCUGAGUACGGCGGAAC